rnacentral:tRNA from 1 species
GCAGGUAUGGCGAAAUUGGUAGACGCGUACGUUUGAGGGGCGUAUGGGGUAACCCAUGGGAGUUCGAGUCUCCCUACCUGCACCA